AUUGAACGCUGGCGGCAGGCCUAACACAUGCAAGUCGAACGAGUGGCGGACGGGUGAGUAAUGUCUGGGAAACUGCCUGAUGGAGGGGGAUAACUACUGGAAACGGUAGCUAAUACCGCAUACCAUCAGAUGUGCCCAGAUGGGAUUAGCACGUUGGUGGGGUAACGACUCACCAAGGCGACGAUCCCUAGCUGGGCUGAGAGGAUGACCAUACACACGUGAACUGAGCCACGUGCCAGACUCCUACGGGAGGCAGCAGUGGUGAAUAUUGCACAAUGGGCGCAAGCCUGAUGCAGCCAGGCCGCGUGUAUGAAGAAGGCCUUCGGGUUGUAAAGUACUUUCAGCGGGGAGGCGUUACCCGCAGAAGAAGCACCGGCUAACUCCGUGCCAGCAGCCGCGGUAAUAC
rnacentral:rRNA from 1 species